rnacentral:piRNA from 1 species
UCCAAAGCUCUGGACGUGUAUC